GUAUCUGGCUACGUAACGUUAGCGUAGCUACUUGGAAGAUUUCCACUCUUUUGAGGAAAAAUCAUGGACAACAAGAAAAUGGAAACAGACGGCAGAAAAGAAACCAUAUCUGGUUAUAUACACACACGAUUAAAAAAAAAGCACGAAACAACAAGUACUUGAAUGCAAUAAUUCAGGUGGGCUGAGAGAAGUACCACCACGCGGUUUGUUUCUCAUUAGAGAAACACGAGUGCAUGGCCGCGGCUCCGACAAAUUCUACAAACGUUAAAGAACGCAACGAAAGCUUUAAAGAUCAUCAGGGCUAUGACUACAGUACACAAAGCACACUAUAAUUGAAGUCACAGAACCUCAGUUCCCCAGUCAGCACUCUGGAAGCUGCAGUUUGCAGCAUUGAUGCCUUGACGACCACUGUGACCAUAAGACACAUAGACUGAAGUGCAGAACUGCUGCAUCAGAGAUGCGAUGCGGAUUAUACAGCUGUUGUUGUGGGAUGUGCAGAUUUCCUUUGUCAAAGAAGAUGAAUCAUACAGCUUUACGAACCUUGCCACAAGAGACUUUAGGGUAGACAUAACUUUAACCACUUCGCUACUGCCCAGUAAACAUUACGUCAUGGUAAUUUUAUUGAAAAAUCAUAACCAUGCAAGUCUUUAGAACCUGAACUCCUACAGAUGACGCAAGAACAUCUCUAACUGAAAAGAGUGAGGAGGAGGAGGCACUGGGAGAUCUGGAGAGGUUACAGGCUCUGCUUCUGCUGCUGGGGGUUGUCCCGGAGGCUGUGGCAGGGUCAGAGGUGGUCCCUUGUCUUGCUCCAGCAGUGGGGCACUUGGUGGCCUGGGUCUUCUUCCAUUGUGCCUUCUGCUCGUUUGGCUCUUCAGCCUCCUUGGCCAAGUCCUUCUGCUGCAGGAGUCUCUCAUACUACUCUCCAGUGAUGACUUGGGCCUCAAUAGAGACUCGUCUGAUGGUUUUUCUCUGGUAAUCGUCCUGGGUCAGGACCUCCGUAAGGUCAGGCUGAAUCAGUCCUGCUGCCACCAGGGGAUGAUUGCGAGGGGUGGAAGGUCCUGGAAGAUGGGAGGAUGUGGAGGCCCUCAUUGGAGAGAAUGAUGAUGCCACUGUUUCUUGCAAGCUGGUGCUAGUGGUGCUGCUCCUGUGGCCAGGAGAUGGCAUGAGGUGUCUUAAAUCCACAGCUUGUGGAUUCAGAGGAAUGAUGCCACACUUUCUGAACCCCUCCACAACAAAUGCCCCGGUCUUUCAGCCACUGGUAUAGGUGACGGAAAACUUUAGCAAACUGAUUUAACAAUAUAUACGCGUUUACGAAUGUUUGAAAUGGCAGAGGUUGCCAGCCACCUUGGCAAACUAUGCCUUCAAAGAGCCAAAGAAUCCCACGUCCAGCGGCUGCAAGACAUGGGAACAGUGGGCUGGAAGGCACAGAAGCGCAACACCAUCCCUCUUUGCCAUCACAAUGACCUCUUUGGUGAGGUGUGAUUUAUGGCUGUUGAAGAUUAGGAGCAGAGGGCACGUCUUCAGAGCAUGACGGAAUACAUUUUGAAACCACCGCUGGAACAAAUCCCCAUCAAUGUACCCUGCCAGAGAUUUCCCAUAAAGAGCACUGGGGGUCCUCCUUGAGGGUAUGGGCCUCUGGGGAAAAUAUUUUGCACAUAUAAUAAAUGGUGGAAUGUCUUCCCCAACUGCAUUGAAGCAGGCCAUUACUGACACAUGGCGCCGGGGCCUGCUGGUAUGCAUGUUUAGACGUCCAGGGUGUCAGUACUUUGUACCUGCUGUCAUCCAUCUGGAAGCCAGUCUCAUCACAGUUGUAAAUCUGUGAUAGCUGGUCCUUCAAGUCAUGCUCUUCCUCCAUGGAUGACAGCAGGCCAAAGUACCUCUCUACCAUCUCCUUCCUGACACAUGAUGCCCUCCCACGACCAAUUGUGUCAGGGGGGCCUCAUACUUAAUUCUGCAGUGUGCCAUCUCCUGAAAAAGUGCCACCACUUCUUCCCCAGUGAUGUCACAUCUUCAUUGGGGUUCCUCUGUCUCCUCACUGCACUGGCAUAUGCCAGCAGCCUUAGUCAAAGUCAAAUUUAUUUAUAUAGCGUUUUUUUACAACCGAUGUUGUCACAAAGCAGCUUUACAAAUG